rnacentral:rRNA from 1 species
UGCUCAGCAGCUAGCCCACUUAAACAACUUCAACAAACCCUUGUUAAUAACCCCUAAUUACCCUAGUA